ACAAAGCCGGAACGAGACGGAACGUUACAUUAAUGAAUUCAAUUGCUUUAAAAAAAACAGCAUAAAAAGUUACAGACAUAUGAGGAGAAUAUUUUAACAAUCAGAACCGAUUAAUAACGUGCUGUCAUUAACCCGUUACGGGCCAGAACCCUCUUUUUAUCACCAAAAAGCUCCCGGAACACUGGGUUCCGAAGGUGCAAAGACGACGAAAAUUAUACACAUAAUACAACUAAGUUAACACUAUUGAAAAAAACACCGAACCGACCUUUAACUGCCCAUUCCGUGCAAUAAAACUGUGUAUUUGUUUUUAUAUGAUCUCUCUCGCUCUCUCUCUCUGGUGGAGGAUUGUGGGAUCGCUGGAGCCUGUGGGGAGUUUGAGGAAGCGUAGGGUAGGAGUGUCGUUUUGUUUUUGCUUUUUGUUUUACUUUAACUAUAACGUUUGGUUGUUUAAAUUAAUUUGUUGUGUGAGCGUGAGUGAGUGUGUGCUGGGGUUUGUGCUGACAGCUAGUCAGCUGAGCCCCAGUGAUGAGCUCUCAUUCCCAGGGAAUGAGAGAUUUGACCCGCCGGCACGGCUGUCGCUGUGUCCCUGACAGCGCGGUGUCGGUGGAAGAUUGCUUGCUUGCAGUAUGCAAGGUAGUUGAGGGGGAGAGGAUCGUUUCAGCGUCCCGGGUGAAUAAAGGUCUUGUAGUCUUUUUUAAAGAUACGCCGGAUGUGGAUAAACUUGUGCAGGAAGGUUUUGUAGUGCAAGGGAGUUUAGUGCACGUCUCGCCCCUUGCAACAUCCUUUGUAAAAGUGAUUUUAUCAAAUGUCCUCCCGUUUUUAAAGAAUGAAUUGCUGGAAAGGGAGCUAUUCCCCUGGGGUGUAAAAAUCCACAAUUAAAUCAUAUCAUGUCUUUUAGGAGACAAGUGUAUAUUUUAUUAAACAACCCCGGUUUUGAAAUAAAUGUUGCCUGGACUUUCACAGUAGAAGGAAGCGGCUGUGUGGUUUUUGCAAGCACUGACACCAUGCGCUGCUUCAAGUGCGAAGUGCGGAGUCCAGGGGCAUCAGAGGAAAAACUGCCCGAUGAGAGAAGGUGAGACAGGGCAGGAGAAACAGAACGAGGCUGACAGGGGUCCGGGAGCACAGGAGGAAGAGCCGCAGCGGGAAAGGGAGAACAAUGAGCCUGGAGCCCAGGUAAAUGAGGAAGACAGUGAAGAUAAUGAGUUCACUGUGGUAAAUAGGGGGAAGAGGGAAAAAAAAGAAUGAAAUGGAAACAAAGAGGAAAAAAGAGACAUAGAGCUGGAGCGGAGCUCUGAGGCGGUCUCUCCAGAUCACAGGCUCUCUCUGCCCGCCCGCCUUGAAGGAGCGAGCGGUGCUGAGAUAAGGCUGCUGGAGAACCAGGGUCUGGGAGUGGGGGCUGUAGUGCAAUGGGGGAGAAGUCCCCUGCUGCAGAAGCUCCAAACUCGGACUGGGGGGGGGGGAAGAGAGAGACUCCGGCUCUGGGUCUCAGCCUGGAGCGGCGGUCCCCCUCUUCUCGGAGGAGGUGGAGCACAGCGCCGAGUCGCAGCUCGACGCUGUUGCGAUACUCUCUCCCCCAGACUCGCAAGAAAACGCUGCAGAUGAGCUGGGUGUAGCGGCUGAGAAAAUACAAAAACGUCAGUGAAAGUGAGGAAGAGAUUGAGAUGGAUGAGGAAGACGGAGGUGACGUCUCUGACUACCCUCGGUGCUUUCCCACUUACGGAAAAAACACAUGUGAUUCACAUGGGAAACACAUGUUAUCACAUGUGAAAAUAUGUGACAACAUUAAAAUGUCAUUGAUGAUCACAUGUGAUUAUAAAAUUCUCAGCUGAAACACAUGUGAAUAUGAAAUUCACAUUUAAACACGUGAAUAUUUCCUGAUCACAUGUGAGUAUACCAUUUUACAUCUGAUAUGUGAUAAGCUCUUACAGCAAAUUAAACUUGUUUGAUCAAAUAAAAACAUGUUAAGUUAAAAAAUUAUAAUAAUGGAUACAAUAAAGAAUAAAACUAUGAAUACAAGUAUAAAUUAAAAUAAGCCUAGUAUUAUUACAAUGAGUUUACAGAACACCACGUAUUUUUGCUCUAGCCUGAUCAGACCUCGAGACCCAAUUUGAAUAGGAUAUGUUCUUUGUAGUUCUAACGGUUAAAACAGUUAAAAUGUCUGCAAUAGAAAACAAACACCACCGGCAUGUUCUCAUAUUCUGGGUCAAAUCAAAGGAAAUUUGAAGAGAGAUUUGUACAGGACAAAAAUCUCCUCUCUGAUCCUGAGAGAACUGGACUUGAUUCAUGGAUAAAAAAAAAAAAAAAGGAACCAAAAGAUGGAUGGAAAUCGUACCCGGCCCGAGUCUUAGCCGUCAGUGAUAACCUAAGAUGCAUUAAAAAAAGAAAAAGAGUGGUUAGAUGCACAAAUAGAUGACAUCGAAGAUGACAGUCUGAGUGGCAAGGGGCAGAGAGACCUAAAGCAGCCAGUAAGGUAUUCACCUGAGCAGACUUCUGAAGAAUCUUGCUCUGAUAGUGGCACAAAAAAGACCCAGGAUCUGCAGUGUUCCUAAACCUAAUAAGAACAAAGUUGCUGCUGCACAAAAAGCUAAUUCUGAAUUGCUUGAGAAAUACAAAACAGCUAGCAAUACUAAUGAUGGAUAUCCUGGUCAGAUUAGCAGAGAUAGACUCUUUAAAAAAAUUGAAACUCUGGAGGAUGAGCUACAAAGAAAAAGUAUUAAAAUAAAACAACUCACUAAACUGAACAUGCAACUCCAAGAAGGCAUACCUGCACUGAUAGAUGCUUCAGUAAAGAAGUAUGUUCAGAAACAUCUACCAAGUAAAGUCAGGCCUCCAGAAACUUCACCAGAACAAGCAGCAAAUCAGUUGCAUCCAGUUGCCAACUCUGCAACACAUGCAGAGAUUUCAUGCAACAGGGAUAGUAAGAAAGAUGGCUUAUUGAAUCCAAUAGCCCAGCAAGAGGCAAGACAGGCCAGUGACUAUAAAAAAAAAUGACAAGAAAUCUGAUGGGGGCAAUGUUCUCAAAAGAACAAUUAACAGAGUCCUCAGUCACUGGCAAAAAAAGGGCAUCCAAUGCAAUGACGUCACUGGAUAGAUCAUGUGAAAACCAGGUUCCCUCAUACUGAUGAUACAACCAUCAAAGCCUGCAUGGCUCAAAAGUUGAGGGAUGAAAGGACAUUGAAAAAAAGCUGCAAGAUAAAAUGGAAUCUUGUAAGAAUGGACAUCAAAAUGACUUUUUCCUAAUUACGUAUUUUUGUUUAUAUUUAAAUUGUGUUGAUGUAUGUGUUCCUGUAAUU